rnacentral:rRNA from 1 species
UACGUAGGGUGCGAGCGUUAAUGGGAAUUACUGGGCGUAAAGCGUGCGCAGGCGGUUGGUUAAGUCUGAUGUGAAAGCCCCGGGCUCAACCUGGGAAUGGCAUUGGAAACUGGCGAGCUAGAGUGUGGCAGAGGGGGGUGGAAUUCCGCGUGUAGCAGUGAAAUGCGUAGAGAUGCGGAGGAACACCGAUGGCGAAGGCAGCCCCCUGGGCUGACACUGACGCUCAGGCACGAAAGCGUGGGGAGCAAACAGG